rnacentral:tRNA from 3 species
GCGGGUGUGGUGAAAUUGGUAGACACGCCAGACUUAGGAUCUGGUGCUUCGGCGUGGGGGUUCGAGUCCCUCCACCCGCA